AACGAACGCUGGCGGCAGGCCUAACACAUGCAAGUCGAACGGGAUCUUCGGAUCUAGUGGCGGACGGGUGAGUAACACGUGGGAACGUGCCCUUUGGUUCGGAACAACUCAGGGAAACUUGAGCUAAUACCGGAUGUGCCCUUCGGGGGAAAGAUUUAUCGCCAUUGGAGCGGCCCGCGUCUGAUUAGCUAGUUGGUGAGGUAAAGGCUCACCAAGGCUAUGAUCAGUAGCUGGUCUGAGAGGAUGAUCAGCCACACUGGGACUGAGACACGGCCCAGACUCCUACGGGAGGCAGCAGUGGGGAAUCUUGCGCAAUGGGCGAAAGCCUGACGCAGCCAUGCCGCGUGAAUGAUGAAGGUCUUAGGAUUGUAAAAUUCUUUCACCGGGGACGAUAAUGACGGUACCCGGAGAAGAAGCUCCGGCUAACUCCGUGCCAGCAGCCGCCGCUG
rnacentral:rRNA from 1 species